UACGUAGGGUGCGAGCGUUGUCCGGAAUUAUUGGGCGUAAAGGGCUCGUAGGCGGUCUGUUGCGUCAGGAGUGAAAACUCGGGGCUUAACCCCGAGCCUGCUUCUGAUACGGGCAGACUAGAGGUAUGCAGGGGAGAACGGAAUUCCUGGUUUAGCGGUGAAAUGCGCAGAUAUCAGGAGGAACACCGGUGGCGAAGGCGGUUCUCUGGGCAUUACCUGACGCUGAGGAGCGAAAGUGUGGGGAGCGAACAGG
rnacentral:rRNA from 1 species